rfam:Schistosoma rodhaini strain Burundi genome assembly, scaffold: SROB_scaffold0009050
AUCCAUCUGACGAGUUCUGGAUAAAACGAAACGCGCGUCAAACUGGAU